AGAGUUUGAUCAUGGCUCAGGACGAACGCUGGCGGUGUGCUUAACACAUGCAAGUCGAGCGGGAAGCAAGGGGCUUGCCCCUUAUGGAGAGCGGCGAACGGGUGAGGAACACGUGAGGAACCUGCCCCAGACACUGGGAUAACUCAGGGAAACCUGAGCUAAUACCGGAUACUUUCGCGGAACCACAUGGUUCUGCGAAGAAAGCUCCGGCGGUCUGGGAUGGCCUCGCGGCCUAUCAGCUUGUUGGUGGGGUAACGGCCUACCAAGGCGACGACGGGUAGCUGGUCUGAGAGGACGAUCAGCCACACUGGGACUGAGACACGGCCCAGACUCCUACGGGAGGCAGCUGUGGGGAAUAUUGCGCAAUGGGCGAAAGCCUGACGCAGCGACACCGCGUGCGGGAUGAAGGCCUUCGGGUUGUAAACCGCUUUCGGCAGGGAAGAAGCGAAAGUGACGGUACCUGCAGAAGAAGCUCCGGCUAACUACGUGCCAGCAGCCGCGGUAAGACGUAGGGAGCGAGCGUUGUCCGGAUUCAUUGGGCGUAAAGCGCGCGUAGGCGGCUUUGCAAGUCGGGUGUGAAAACCAGAGGCUCAACCUCUGGCCUGCAUUCGAAACUGCAUCGCUUGAGGUAGGUAGGGGAGAUCGGAAUUCCUGGUGUAGCGGUGGAAUGCGCAGAUAUCNNAGGAACACCGGUGGCGAAGGNGGAUCUCUGGGCCUUACCUGACGCUGAGGUGCGAAAGCUAGGGGAGCGAACAGGAUUAGAUACCCUGNAGUCCUAGCCGUAAACGUUGGACACUAGGUGUGGGCGGCUAUCAACCCCGUCCGUGCCGAANCUAANGCAUUANNGNCCCGCUGGGG
rnacentral:rRNA from 1 species